UGCUGCCUGUGAUGACAAGACCAACAGUGAAUGUUCGUAGGAUUUCCCACGAGCUUAAAUUCCCACAGCAGAACUCUGCCCACACUCAUGGACCAUGAAACACAGUUCAUGGUGCUUCCCACGGUUCUUCUCUGCUCCUGAACACAAUCUGGGAUUCAGCAUGGGUAUUUCAUGGUUCCAGGACUCCUUUCUGCUUGGUUCCUUCAGCCCAAGCUUACUUUAGUCUGGCCACAAAACCUGUGCUAGGUAGAGCCAGGGCAGAGGCUUGCCACUAGCAUGCUGCUGUCCAUAGCAGUAACUGUUAGCAUAGUCCCUGGCAGUUUUGGCUGGACUAAAUAGUGUUCUCCAAAACAGUGGUGAAGCACAGGCCAAAAGGGCCUGGUCAGGGCUAUAGGUACAGCUUUCACGUGGCCAGUCUGCUGCAAGAGAUAAAGAAGUUAACUGUAUGAACAAGAAAUAUGGCCUCCAUUAUCAGGUGGCUUGCUGCUCAGUAACUUUCCACUUGCCAUUCAGAUCUGAAAAAACUGCUUCCCUCUGUUCCAGUCACUUCACAGUUCUCCCAGGGCAGACCACACUUAGCUGCUGGCUGAUAUUACAGAUUAGAGAGUCAUAACUGGAAGCCACUCCUGUUUACCAGGAGCAACAAGCUGCAAGAAGUGGCCACACAGCCUGAGCCUAGUCCUGGCAACUUUUUCUUUCUGUUCACCAAGUAAAACUUCCAGUCUCCUUUUCCUGGCAGAAGGGAAGAGGCCUACAUGUAAGGCACGCCUUUGCCAAUGAAGGGUCUGGAGCACAGGUCUUAUGAGGAAUGGCUGAGGGAGCUGGGAUUGUUUAGUCCGGAGAAGAGGAGGCUCAGGGGAGACCUUAUCGCUCUCAACAACCACCUGAAAGGAGGUGGUGGCAGGCUGGGGGUCAGCCUCUUCUACCAGGAAAUAAGAGUUUUAGAUUUCCUCUUCCUGCCCUGCAAUCCCUGGAGCUCACUCAUACUGGACAGACAAGCAAGCAGCAGCAGCAGCAAUCCAGAGCAGGGCCACAGCAGAGCCAUGCUCCAGCCCUGGGCAGCCUCCACUAGUUCCAGUACCUGACAUGACCACAGAAUUGUGUAAGCCACUCCAGAAUUCAUAAAGAAUGACCCACCACAAAGCAAAUACAUUCAUGCAUGUCAAGACAAAUAUUGUGUAAUUCUAAAUGCAUUUUUCACUAAAAAGUAAUGCAUUUUAAAGCAAAAUAUAAGCACAGUUUUGAAUUUUUGAAUUGG
rnacentral:lncRNA from 1 species